rnacentral:sRNA from 1 species
AAAAAAUAAAAAAAAAAUAACAGCCGCAAACUAGGGAGAAUGAGACACAGACACUUCCCACAAGAGGGCAUGGGGAUGGCCAGUUCAAGCCAUCAGGCUCAUUAGCAAUUAGAGAAAUGCAAUUAAACCACAAUUGAAAAGCCAAAAGCUCCACACCCUUAGAAUGGCCAAAAUUAAAAAGAUGGACACCACCAAGUGUUGGGAAAGACGCGGAGCCCACUGCACGUGAGGGUGUGGGGGGCACCAUGGCCCCUGCCGCCGUCUCUCCAGCUGCCCUCCCUCCCUGCCUCCCUCCCUCUGUGUCCACCUGCUCCUCUUCCAGUUCCCUCUGCCUGGCUGUUUUCUCUAGUGAAUGCUCACUCAGCUGGCAGGUCCUGGCUUAGCAAAGCUCACAGGCAUUCGGCUCUGCAUCUGCCUGUGGCUCUGCCCCUGUCUUUGUGGCCCUCUCACCAGCGAGCUGCCCCACCGACUCUGAGCUCCCAGAGGGCAGGGCAGCCUCUGCCUAGGCACAUCUUUGUACGUCCAGCACCUAACAUGGGCCUGGCGCUUAGGAGGGCCCAGGAGACACCUGAGUAAUGGCACCAGUCACCUGCUGCUACAGCAAAAGCGUUUCCUCCUAACAGUUUUGUGCUGCUCUCCUCUUUAGGGCAUCUUGACCCAGCCGAAAAAGUUGAAGACGCUCACCCCAAGUUAUGGUGUGCUCUGAGUGAAGGCAAGGUGACCGUGUUCGAUGCUUCUUCAUGGACCAUCCACCAGCACUGCUUUAAAGUGGGCACCGCGAAAGUGAACUGCAUGGUGAUGGCCGACCAGAACCAGGUGUGGGUUGGCUCGGAAGACUCCGUCAUCUACAUCAUCAACGUCCACAGCAUGUCCUGCAACAAGCAGCUCACAGACCACUGCUCCAGUGUCACGGAUUUGAUUGUGCAGGAAGGACAGAAGGCACCCAGCGAGGUGUACUCGUGCAGCAUGGACGGCACGGUGCUGGCGUGGAAUGUGAGCACGCUGCAGGUGACCAGCCGCUUCCAGCUGCCGAGAGGUGGCCUCACGUCCAUCAGACUGCACGGCGGCCGCCUGUGGUGCUGCACAGGUAACAGCAUCGUGGUCAUGACAACAAAUGGAUUCCUCCGUCAAGAACUGAAGAUUGAGGAGAACUUCAGAGACACCAGUACCUCCUUCCUGGCCUUCCAGCUCCUUCCUGAGGUAUCCCAGCAGGGGCUGUGGGCCCAGCACGCGCGUGGCCCGGGGCCCAUAGCCCACACCAUGCCCUGUGUUUCAGGAGGAGCAGCUGUGGGCGGCCUGUGCAGGACGCAGCGAGGUUUACAUCUGGAGCCUGAAGGACCUGGCCCAGCCCCCGCAGAGGGUGCCCCUCGAGGACUGCUCUGAGAUCCACUGCAUGAUCCGGGUGAAGAAGCAGGUAGGGUGGAGGGCCUGCCAUCCCCAGCAUCCCUGCCAGGUCUCGCUUGCCCUGGCCGUGUCCCCAUGCUCCCGAGAGCCAGCUGCACUCUCCUGCCUUCGCCUCUCAGGGCUCCCCUCCUAACAGGCACGUGCAGGGUUGGUGCCAACGGGCCCACAGGUCACCAUGUGCUGGUUUCAUGGUGUGGUCCAAGCACUCCACAGCGCAUUCCCCCAAACUGGAUGGCUUCAAAUGACAGAACUUAAUUUUCUCACAAUUCUCGAGGCUGGAGGUCCAAAACCAAGGUGUCAGCAGAGCUGCUUCCCUCGAGGGCUCGGGGGGAGCGUGCACUCCAGGCCCUUCUCUCCACCACCCACUCAUGUGGCCGCUGUCCUUGGCGUGCCCUGGCUGUGGAUGUGGCACUCUAAUCUGUGCCUGUGCCACAUGGCACUCUCUCUCCCUGUGUGUGUCUCUUAUGGGGAUGCUGGUCCUACUGGAUUAACCAGUGUGACCACAUUUGAACUAUCUGCAGACUCUAUUUCCAAAGAAGCUCACAUUCUGAGGUUCGGAGAGGAUAUGGAUUUGGGGGGACACUGUUCAACCCAUUACAGUCUGCCCUCUGGCCCCCUAAAUCCACAUCUGUUCCACAUGCAAAAUAUACCCCCUCCAUCACUACAUCCCCCGAAGUUCUAGCCCAUUCCAGCAUCAGUUCUGAGCCCCAAAUCUCCAAGUGAAGCCAGAGCCCUCCGAUGUGGGUGAGCUGUGGGCGGGUCCUACCUGGGGCAGAACCAACCCCUCUUGCACUGUGAACCUGUGCGGCUAGAAACAGGCUGUCUCUUCCCAAAAUACAAGGCUGGGCCAGGCAGAGGUUAGACAUUCUCAUCCGAAAAGGGAGAAAUUGGAAGGAAAGCAGGACUUCCAGGCCCCGAGCAAGCCUGAGACACGGCGGGGCUGGGGCGGAAUUUGUUUAGUGUUUUCCCCCAUAACUUAACUGGGAUAUAAUUGACGAAUAAAAAUUAUAUAUAUCUAAGGUAUACAAGGUGAUAUUUCAGUAUACAUUGUGAAAUAAUCACAAGCUAAUUACCGUAUCUGUCACCUCACACAGGUGGCUGUUGUUUGGUGAGAGCACUCAAGAUGCACCCCAGCACCUUUCCAGCACGCAAUGCAGUCUUCUUCCCCAGAGGCCUCUCGGCCAUUAGGUUCUAAGCCUGAGAAGGGUCCUCUGCACCUGCCAGGUGGCCCUGACCCUCAGGCGGCAGAGGCCCUGUCCAGGAAGGACAUGGAUUUGGAGGCACACGCGUCAAUUCUGGGUAGCCAGGCAAAGCCCUGGCGCUCCUGGGAGGGACUUCUUUCCCUGCUGACCCCUCCCGUUUCUCCCUGGCAGGUCUGGGUGGGCAGCCAAGGGCUGUGGCAGGGAACACCCAAGGGGAAAAUCUACGUGAUUGAUGCCGAGAGGAAGACCGUGGAGAAGGAGCUGGUGGCGCACAUGGACACCGUGAGGACGCUGUGCUCGGCUGAGGACAGAUACGUGCUGAGUGGGUCGGGCAGGGAGGAGGGGAAGGUCGCCAUUUGGAAAGGGGAAUAAACGUGGCUGAGCCUGCCAAGUGGAACCGUGCCCUACGUGUGGGGACUGGCUGCCCCCUAGAGCCCGCCAGGAGCAGAACCUGGAGGGGUGGCGGGGCAGGGCAGCCCAGGCUCAGCGUGGAGCCCGCUUACCGUGUGGCCAGCCGCAGGACCCAUGGCCAUGCACCUUCUCUUAGGCCUUCGGGCCCCCUGGUUAAACUGCACCAAGGGUGUUUCCUGUUGGGGUAUGUCUCAGGCAGGCAGCUGCAUCAUCUUGUUGGUGAUAACCUCUGCUGGGAGGUUACUUUGUGUGUUGCCUAGAAAGUUCUGGAAUCCACAACCAGGGGCUGGCACUGGAGCCAGCAGCUUGGCCGAGUCACAGGUGACCCGUGGCCCUCACGUCUCUGGUUUUACCUUUCCUUACUUCAUUCAUUCACUCACCCAGUCCUACCGAGGAGCACUGGGCUGGGCACAUGACAGUGAGCCGGGAGCCCCGGGGCCUCCAGCGAGGCCUGUGAGAAGGGUGGUUCAGGUAACCACUGUGGUCUUUCUCCCAUCAGAGAAGGUGGACAGGGCCUACCCAGGUGGAGGGGACCACCCUGCGAUCAGGUGUUCGGGGCAGGGGUUGGGCCAGCUGAGGCAAGCUGUCUUUUUUCCUUUCCUUUAUAAUAGAUGCAAAAUUUUUAUAAUAAUCCUAGAGACCUUUUUUCUACCAAAGAUCACAGACCAGAAAAAGUUCCAUCUAAAAUAUCAUGCUCAGGAAACUACAUGGGACCAAAAGUAAAAUAGCAUCAUGUAUGAUCCUGUCUUCCAGUGUGCCGCUCAAUUUCCCUGAAUCCGUGUGCACACUGUGUAUGUGUAUGUGCAGGAUGCUUUACUGAACUCAACAAGAUCUUAGCUGUACAUAAAUAUUUGCAAAAGAGACCCUUUGCACCUUUUUACUGUAAUGUUGAGAUUUCAUUACUUAAAUGUUCUAUGGAAGGUUCUGGUGUGGUUGUUGGAGCUGGAGGGAACAUGUCAGCACGUGCUGAGGGCAUGGGGCCUGCCCCCUGGGCGCCCAUCCACAAGCUGGGCCAUGGAGCCCUAGCUUCUCAGGACACAGUCCCAGGGCUGGCGCAUCCUGAGGGUCUCUGGGGCGUGUUUGCCAGGCUCCUGGGAGCUGCUUUCAGAAGCUCUGCAGUGCCUCCAGAUGGAAAGGCGGGCCCGGCCUCCGGUUGGGUCUGCAUCUUGGAGAGUCCACACCACGGACCAGGUUUUCCCCCAAGGCUUGGCUUUGCGUAGCCACUAACUUCUUGGGGCGUUCUGAGAGUGUGGGCGGAGCGAACUAUGUGGCCUCAUCCUCCCGCAAGGCUGUGCUUGCAGCCUGGGCACCUUCCCACUUUCUAGCUGGGGAGAGCUUGGAUUUUGCUUUUGUAAACACAUGAAUCCUUAUGAUAAAAGUCUGUCAGAAAUACAUUUAUAAAUUAUUUAAUGCCAGUCCUCAUGUAACCUCAGGCAUCUUCAGCUUGUGGAGAAUAAAUUUGGUUUAAUAAACACUG